GUGACCUCGCCCCAGUUUGGGAUUCAGCGACGAGUCGUCUUCUCGUCUGCGCGCCGCAACACAGCACGCGCGCCACAUCCCCUCGCGUCUCCCCCGCACGGCGCCGCUUCCCCUCGUGCCUCCACAGCACGCGUGCCGCCAGCUUCCCCUCGCGACCCCCACCGCACAGACGCCACCCUCCCCCGCCGGACUUCUCCCGCCGCUUGUCUCGUUGGGCUCUCUGGCGUGGACCAUUCUCGCGUCGCAGCCAUACCUCCUCGGCUUCUUGCAUGGCCUGCCUUGGGGCCCGAUGUCAUUUCCUCCCUCGGCUACCACACGACCCGGUGACAUCCUCCACCUGUCUUUGCUCGCACCCGAGGUAUUGCCCUCUUCUCUGUGCCCCUAUUACGGUUGCCUCAAUCCCACCCCCAUGUUGCUAACACACAUAACCCUAAUCCCCAAAUCUGAUGUUGGAGGUGUAUGUGGUCGCAGAUCGGCUAUGGGAGGAGCCAAUGAUGGAGACCUAGGUGGAGGAGGCGGCAAAUCUGCAGCUGGAGGAGCCUGCAGCUGGAGGACCCCGUGAUGGAGGCGUAGGUAGAGGAGGCCACGACAAGGAGUGCCUCUUUCCACCUGGAAGGUAAAUCUUGUUUCUUUCUCCAUGUGUUAUGCUUAAUUCGCUUAUUAAUUUGUAUUCAUUCCCUUAUUUGAUGGAAUGGUUGAACCAAGAAACUGAAAAGCUAAGCUAGUUAUCCUUUUUUUCAUCUUUUGUUGCAUUCAAGUAAUGAAAAUGUUAUAAUCUGUGUGCCUACCAUGUGAUUUAUGGAAAUGCUCUUGGGUGUCCAUAUUGGUCUAGCAUUUUCUUUUGCACAAGUAGUUGAUGCCAGUUUUUGGAAGAGAAAUCAACCACAGAUUUUGUAAAAUUAUUAGAUGCAAGACCUAUGGAUAUCUUAUUUGUGUGGCCGUUGAUGCAAGACCUAGGACAUAUUAUUAUGUAGCUGUGGAUGCAAAAACUAUGAGCAUCUUAAUUGUGGCUAUUGAUGCUAGCUGUGGGCUUCUAAUAUGUAUGUCAUGUGGAUGAUGACAAAUUGAUGCAAUAUAUUUGUGUUCUAGCUGAAUAGUAUAGAAUUGUGAAUAAGAUUCUUUUCUGGUCUGGUGAAUGCAAUUGUAAAAAUAUAUUUUCUGUCAGUUUGUUUGAAUUAUCUUGUCGGUGGAGAGUCGACAUGGAAAAUUUUUAUUUUCUGUCCGGCUAAGUUCGAUGGAAAAAUAAGUGUUUUCCUGUCGGUGUAAGUUUCUUUUUUUUGUCGUUCUCCAACCGAUAGAGAAUGUAUUUCCUUGUCGGUAUUUUUUUCCUAUUGUCAUCUUCCGACAAAAAAAUUGAUUCUAAACCUGUCGACAAUGAAUUUUUCUGUCGGUGGCCCACCGACAAGGCAAAUAACAUACCGACAGGAAAAUGGUUUAUCCAACAGAAAAAAAAACUUAUUCCCUGUCGCGUUAGGCCUGUCGAAAUUUUUCUGUCGGGUUCCCAAUAUUUUUCCUGUCGUUAAAUUGAAUUGUCCUGUUGGUGUGGGAACGGACAGGAAAUUUUCAGUUUUCAGUAGUUAUAUGAAAUCUGCUAUGUCAUCAGCUCACAUAGAUUUAUGGGGACGUAGGAUUACCCAGAUGCAAUUUUACCAAAUCUUCUAUUUCAGAUGCACCUACCCUGUUUUUCAAUACUAUACCAUUUCUGAAAAACAAGUCUACGCAUGCCAUGAAGGCACAAUAAUUUGUGAAGAUACACGCUAGAUUGCACUAAUCAAUGCAAUAAUGUAUUGAUGUCAGUAGAGAAGUUUUACAGUAGAAAUACACGAAUGGUGGUGCCUUCUGGAUGAUGCUGCUCGAAGAAGCUGCUUACUACCGGCCGUACGAUUCCUACUAACUCUUCGCGAUUUGGAUUUCUACAAUAUGGAUAUCGUCCAUCGCACAGAUUGAUGUAAACUUUUUUCAGAUGUGGCAGGUGCUCGAUGCCAUGAAGUCCGACGACGCCACAUGUCUGGACUUGUUGCACAUCCAAUCUAAAGCUGAGGGUCUCAACCUUGGGCAUUGCUUCGGCCUGGAAAUGGAAAAGUUAACAAGAGCCCUGAACACCGUGCUGCCGCUAAAGAUAAUACCUUGGACAGGGACACGAUCUGCCCACACCCGAAGACGGGCGAGAACAGGUAACCCUGCAAGAACAGCAAUAGCAUCGUUGCACAGCCAGCCAAGGUUAAUAUCCAUGGUGACGAGUGUGCUGAGAUGACGAACCCACGGAGGUAACCGUGGGAGCCGUAUCUGCAGGUUUAGUUGCUCGAGAACACAGCCAGCAGAGAAGCUUAAAGGCCUACAGGCAGCAUAGUAAACUGUCAGGUUGUGCAAUGUUAAACCAUUUAAACGCUUCAGAUUGCAACUAACUAGCUUCUCGAUGGAGUAAAACAGAGCUUUCAAAUGUGCUUCCUUAUUGGCAAAACUGUAAUCAGUAAUAUAUAAGUCCAGCUCAAUCAGAUUUAGUAAUUCCCCAAGAGCCCUUACAUUAUCCAAUGACUGCUUGCUUGGAUCGAAGGAAUGUAUAGUACGCAGUGAUUUCAUAUUGCUGAUUCCAUCAGGAUAAAUUGUGCCCACAGGAAGCUUCAGAUACGACAAAGAAGGCAAACGAAUAAUAUCCCAUGGAAGAUGGGACAAUUUCCCAUGUAUCAUCAAUGAUUCAAGACGAUGCAACCCGCACAUUUGACUAGGUAGUUGAAUAAUGCUUGAUCCAGGUUUACUUUCAACAUAUAAAUACCUCAGCUGAAACAUUUUCCCAAUUGGAGUGAGAUCCAAAAUGUCAGCAUUGCAUACAAAUAGAACUCGGAUAAACUUCAGCUCCAACAGUUGAAGACUUUGGAGAGACAACCCAAAAGUAAAUAGCGAUCGUACAUGUGGUAGAUUCGCUCCAGGUGCUCUUUUAUCAAGUACUGACUCAUCAAUAAGCUGCAGGGAGAGACGGCGAGUAUUGUACGGCUGCCUAGUGGUAAUUGUUUGUAGGUUUUGUACUACAGCCAAAAAAUUCUCUUCUGCAGCCUUGGACACAAUUAGGUCUAGAAUCAUAUCAUGCACUUUAUAACAUAUAGUGCUCUUCAUCCAACCAUUAAGUUUUUCAAA
rnacentral:lncRNA from 1 species